GAACAGUCAAAAGGUGGAGCAGACACCACAGGCCCUGAGCAUCAGGGAGGGUGAAGAGUCUACUCUGACCUGUAACUUUACAGUUGGAGAGUUGCUGCAGGACAUGAAGGUGCUCUUUACAAAAGAGCAAGGACUCACUAGAAGAUUCUAACCCAGAACUCAGAAUGUGAAACUAGAGCAGUACCCUUAUCAGCUUUGGUGUAUUCAUGGGUACAAAUUCUUUUCUCUUUCCCAUUCAAUCAGCCAUGGUCUCUGCUGUCUGCUCGGUGCUUGUGGUCCUGCUGCUAGUUCUCAGAGGGACUACUGGAGAUUCAGUGACCCAGACAGAGGGUCUGAUUACCCUCCUGGAGGAGGCACCUCUGACCCUGAACUGUACUUAUCAGAGCAGCUAUUCCCCUUUCCUCUUCUGGUACAUCCAGCAUCAAAAUGAAGCACCU